GGACGAGGCCGAGCAAUUCUGUGUGUCUUGGAACUCACACCUGACCUCUGUCUCCUCCCAGGCAGAACAGGAGUUUCUCUCCAGCGAGACCCAGGGACAAGAUCACUGGAUUGGACUCAACGACCGGGAGACCGAAGGCAGCUGGCGCUGGGCGGAUGGCACAGAAUACAGAGCAGACGCAAGCAGGGGGUUCUGGGCGGAGAAUGAGCUAAACAAACAUGAUCCAGAGAAAGAUGGUGGAGAAGACUGUGUUCACACUGAGCCAAGAAAGCAGAAUUUGUGGAAUGAUGCCAACUGCACUCAGCCUUUCAGGUGGAUUUGUAAGCAGGCCCAUGGAUAGGCUGGGCUGUGACAUGCAGGUCCCAGCACCUCAGAAAGCGCCUUAAUUUCCAAGCUAGAAUAUUUCCCAGCCACCUGCCAAUGAGGAGCCCUGUGCACUGGAGGGGGCCACAUGGGAUGUGCAUUACAGGGACGCUUUUUCUUGCUGUGAUAUUUCUGGCUUUAGCAGCAACAGCGACAGCUGCCCUUAUGCCGCUCAGUGUGGCUGGCUCUAUAAUUUGUAUGUU